GUCCAAAGUCUUUACUUAUUUUCUACUUUAAAGCAUGCUUAAACUUUGCAGGAGCAGGAUGUGGAGGGUUUGAAACGUAAAUUAUCCGAAUCGGAAGCCAAUGAAACGAUAAUCAGGCUACUGUUGAUGAAGAGAUUUUCGAUGCCCAGUCUUUAAGGUUAUCCAUUAAUGAGUUACUAAGAACUAUUGGCCUAAAAUGUGGACAAAUCAUUGCAAUUAGAAAAGCAUUUCCUAGUUCUUUGGAUACAAGCACUAAAGAAUCUAAAGAAAGCUGCUCCAUGGCCUUAAUCAACUAUUCCUAUGGUACGAUUGUGUUUAAUAUGUUCAGGCAACUACUACUAAAGGAUGCAGUCAUCUCAUUUGUUGUCAACAUAUCUGAUUUUUUAGUCAUUUUCUACAUUUCCUUUUUUAUGUUUUCUUUGCUGCCAAAUUGUAAUGAACACAGACCCCCAAUGCAAUCAUUUUUGCAGAAAAGCAGGAAUCUGCCAAAACAAGUCAUAGCAAUGCAUCACUGUCCAGUGCUUUUGUGAAAACACCUG